CAGAGGUCCCAAGCGUUGUUCGGAUUCACUGGGCGUAAAGGGUGCGUAGGUGGCUGGGUAAGUUUGAUGUGAAAUCUCCGGGCUCAACCCGGAAAAUGCAUUGAAUACUAUCCAGCUAGAGGUUUGGAGGGGGGACUGGAAUUCUUGGUGUAGCAGUGAAAUGCGUAGAUAUCAAGAGGAACACCAGUGGCGAAGGCGAGUCCCUGGACAAAUCCUGACACUGAGGCACGAAAGCUAGGGGAGCAAACAGGAUUAGAUACCCUGGUAGUCCUAGCCCUAAACGGUGCGCAUUUGCUGUAAGAGGAAUCGACCCCUUUUGUGGCGAAGCUAACGCGAUAAAUGCGCCGCCUGGGGAGUACGGUCGCAAGAUUA
rnacentral:rRNA from 1 species